UGAUCUACCGGGUGUUCUCCCCGCCACGGAGCUUUUACAGGCCAAUUUCUUACUCCGUCCAGAGUAACGAGGAGCCGUGUCAGAUACGGAGGCCCCUCCGCCGGCUGCCCAGCUGCCGCAGACCCCCAGCACCACCUUGUGACUAUCAUGCCUAAUUGCUGCUUGCUUCCACAGCUUGCAGCCUCGCACGGCUGCCUGCUUGUCUUCUACUUUACAAGCAUAUCCUCAACCACAGCAACCAAAUAGUUUCCUUCUGGGACUGGGCAGGCUGGAAAUUACACAAGCUGUUGAAGUCUUGCUUAUAAGCAUGCUUCCUUCUAGGGAUUAAUUCAGGAAAGCAGCAAAACAGCUAUAUUCAGUAUU